rnacentral:rRNA from 1 species
GAACGCUGGCGGCGUGCCUAACACAUGCAAGUCGAACGGCAGCAUGGUCUAGUUUACUAGAUUGAUGGCGAGUGGCGGACGGGUGAGUAACGCGUAGGAAUAUGCCCUGAAGUGGGGGAUAACUUGGGGAAACUCAAGCUAAUACCGCAUAAGCUCUGAGGAGUAAAGCUAGGGACCUUCGGGCCUGGCGCUUUGGGAUUAGCCUGCGUACGAUUAGCUAGUUGGUAGGGUAAAGGCCUACCAAGGCGACGAUCGUUAGCUGGUCUGAGAGGAUGGCCAGCCACACUGGAACUGAGACACGGUCCAGACUCCUACGGGAGGCAGCAGUGGGGAAUAUUGGACAAUGGGGGCAACCCUGAUCCAGCAAUGCCGCGUGUGUGAAGAAGGC